AGAUCUCGCGUAGUGUUACGUCACAAUACGGUUUGUUCUAUGCGUGCGUUUCGCGAUUUUUUUCCAUGGGGCCCCAUGCGCGUUUUGCGUCGACGCAAGGCACAUUACUUGUAUAUUCUAAUUAUAUUUGCGCUAUAAGCGCGAAGCAAGAAGAUCAAAGAAUUGGUAAAGUAUAAAUCACAAUUGGCAUUAUUACGUACAUAAGCUCUUUUCAGAAACAUCGAUGAUGUGACGUCACGCAGUGGUGAUGACAUAACAGAAUAACCCACUUCAACAUGGUAUGUGACGUCACAGAGGAUCAAGCGAACAAUGCCACAAAGAUGAAAUGAAGAAAAGUCAGCGAAUAAAGCUGCCGAAGAAAAGCGCAAGACGAAGAAUAAAGACGAAGACGCCAAUGGAUGCUGGUUUGAGGUGUUUGUAGGCUUAAGCGUGUAUAGGUCUACUAUAAGCGUGUAUAGACCUAAUAUAGGUGUGUAUAGGCUUAGUAUAGGGUGUAUGCGCGAAGAAAGAAGAUCGAAGACGCCGAUAAAGGAUGUCGGUUUCAGGUGGUUUAGGCUUAAUAUAAGUGUGUAUAGGCCUACUAUAAGCGUGUAUAGACCUAAUAUAGGUGUGUAUAGGCUUAGUAUAGGGUGUAUGCGC